rnacentral:rRNA from 1 species
AACGAACGCUGGCGGCAGGCCUAACACAUGCAAGUCGAGCGGGGGAGCAAUCCCUAGCGGCGGACGGGUGAGUAACGCGUGGGAACGUACCCUUUGCUUCGGAAUAGCCCCCGGGAAACUGGGAGUAAUACCGGAUGUGCCCUACGGGGGAAAGAAUUUCGGCAAAGGAUCGGCCCGCGUUGGAUUAGGUAGUUGGUGGGGUAAUGGCCUACCAAGCCGACGAUCCAUAGCUGGUUUGAGAGGAUGAUCAGCCACACUGGGACUGAGACACGGCCCAGACUCCUACGGGAGGCAGCAGUGGGGAAUCUUAGACAAUGGGCGCAAGCCUGAUCUAGCCAUGCCGCGUGAGCGAUGAAGGCCUUAGGGUUGUAAAGCUCUUUCGUGGGGGGAAGAUAAUGACGGUACCCCAAGAAGAAGCCCCGGCUAACUCCGUGCCAGCAGCCGCGGUAAU